GACGAACGCUGGCGGCGUGCUUAACACAUGCAAGUCGAACGGAAAGGCCCUGCUUUUGUGGGGUGCUCGAGUGGCGAACGGGUGAGUAACACGUGAGUAACCUGCCCUUGACUUUGGGAUAACUUCAGGAAACUGGGGCUAAUACCGGAUAGGGGCUCCUGCUGCAUGGUGGGGGUUGGAAAGUUUCGGCGGUUGGGGAUGGACUCGCGGCUUAUCAGCUUGUUGGUGGGGUAGUGGCUUACCAAGGCUUUGACGGGUAGCCGGCCUGAGAGGGUGACCGGCCACAUUGGGACUGAGAUACGGCCCAGACUCCUACGGGAGGCAGCAGUGGGGAAUAUUGCACAAUGGGCGGGAGCCUGAUGCAGCAACGCCGCGUGCGGGAUGACGGCCUUCGGGUUGUAAACCGCUUUCGCCUGUGACGAAGCGUGAGUGACGGUAAUGGGUAAAGAAGCACCGGCUAACUACGUG
rnacentral:rRNA from 1 species